UAGGGAAUCUUCCGCAAUGGACGCAAGUCUGACGGAGCAACGCCGCGUGAGUGAAGAAGGAUUUCGGUUCGUAAAACUCUGUUGUUAGAGAAGAACAGCGCAUAGAGUAACUGUUAUGCGUGUGACGGUAUCUAACCAGAAAGCCACGGCUAACUACGUGCCAGCAGCCGCGGUAAUACGUAGGUGGCAAGCGUUGUCCGGAUUUAUUGGGCGUAAAGCGAGCGCAGGCGGUCAAUUAAGUCUGAUGUGAAAGCCCCCGGCUCAACCGGGGAGGGUCAUUGGAAACUGGUUGAUUUGAGUGCAGAAGAGGGGGGUGGAAUUCCAUGUGUAGCGGUGAAAUGCGUAGAUAUAUGGGGGAACACCAGUGGCGAAGGCGACUCUCUGGUCUGUAACUGACGCUGAGGCUCGAAAGCGUGGGUAGCAAACAGG
rnacentral:rRNA from 1 species